rnacentral:rRNA from 1 species
UACCUUGUUACGACUUCACCCCAGUCAUGAAUCACAAAGUGGUAAGCGCCCUCCCGAAGGUUAAGCUACCUACUUCUUUUGCAACCCACUCCCAUGGUGUGACGGGCGGUGUGUACAAGGCCCGGGAACGUAUUCACCGUAGCAUUCUGAUCUACGAUUACUAGCGAUUCCGACUUCAUGGAGUCGAGUUGCAGACUCCAAUCCGGACUACGACGUACUUUAUGAGGUCCGCUUGCUCUCGCGAGUUCGCUUCUCUUUGUAUACGCCAUUGUAGCACGUGUGUAGCCCUACUCGUAAGGGCCAUGAUGACUUGACGUCAUCCCCACCUUCCUCCGGUUUAUCACCGGCAGUCUCCUUUGAGUUCCCGACCGAAUCGUUGGCAACAAAGGAUAAGGGUUGCGCUCGUUGCGGGACUUAACCCAACAUUCCACAACACGAGCUGACGACAGCCAUGCAGCACCUGUCUCAGAGUUCCCGAAGGCACCAAAGCAUCUCUGCUAAGUUCUCUGGAUGUCCAGAGUAGGUAAGGUUCUUCGCGUU